UACGUAGGGGGCAAGCGUUGUCCGGAUUCAUUGGGCGUAAAGAGCGUGUAGGCGGCCAGGUAGGUCGGUUGUGAAAACUGGAGGCUCAACCUUCAGAGGUCGACCGAAACCAUCUGGCUAGAGUCCGGGAGAGGAGAGUGGAAUUCCUGGUGUAGCGGUGAAAUGCGCAGAUAUCAGGAGGAACACCGGUGGCGAAGGCGGGUCUCUGGGCCGAUACUGACGCUGAGAAGCGAAAGCGUGGGGAGCGAACAGG
rnacentral:rRNA from 1 species